AGAAAAUGGUGAGCCGAAGAGAAAGUCACACGCUGGGCAUUUUGAACCAUCCUCUACAAGUAAAGGAACGGUUACCCGGCCCUCGCUUAAGCAUUAACUCUUGCCCUGCCAGAAAGGUUGAAGCCGUUAAAAAAAAAAAAAAAAGCCUGAGUGGUCUCACUCAGGACCGGAAGGUGGAUUCCCGCCCCCUGGUACGCGGCGAAGACAGAUGGGGAGCCACCUGUCAGAGGACUGUGGGCGGGGGCCGGGGCGAGAGGGCCGCGGGACCGGAGUAAGCGGCGCUGAGCGCACGCUCAGAGCAGACGGCUUGCAGGAGGCAGGAGAAGAUGGUCUAAAACCCUGAGAGCUGAUGGUCAGAGCGGGGGAGAAAUGUAGUCUCAGAGAGCUCCUGCUGGAGGAUCCUGGAGGUGACAGCAAGGAGAGUACGCAACGGUGAGGGGCGGCUUCUGCGCCGACGCCGGGCAGUCGGGCGAGAGGAAAGCAGGGCAACGCGGCGGCGCUGCGGGCGGGCUCCGCCCGGGCGGGUGUGCCAUGUCUCGAGAGCGCCCCCCCCGCACCGACAUCCCCCGCAACCUGAGCUUCAUAGCCGCACUAACGGAGCGUGCCUACUACCGCAGCCAGCGGCCCAGCCUCGAGGAGGAGCCGGAGGUGGAGUCAGCCGAGGGCGGGACGCGCCUUGGGGCGCGAUCCCGCGCUCACGCUCCGAAUCGGGGUCGCCGGGCCCUUUCUGCGCCCGCCGGAGGCGGCGGGGUCCGGGCGCCCCGCAGCCGCAGUCCCGACACCCGCAAGAGAGUGCGUUUCGCCGACGCACUCGGGCUGGAGCUGGCCGCGGUGCGCCGCUUCCGCCCCGGAGAGCUGCCCCGGGUGCCGCGCCACGUGCAAGUCCAGCUGCAGAGGGACGCCCUCCGCCACUUCGCGCCGUGCCAGCCUCGCGCCCGCGGCCUCCAGGAGGCGCGCGCGGCCCUGGAGCCGGCCAGCGAGCCCGGCUUCGCCGCUCGCUUGCAGGCGCAGCGCAUCUGCCUGGAACGCGCCGAGGCGGGCCCGCUGGGCGUGGCCGGGAGCGCGCGCGUGCUGGACCUGGCCUACGAGAAGCGCGUGAGCGUGCGCUGGAGCGCCGACGGCUGGCGGAGCCAACGCGAGGCACCCGCUUCCUACGCCGGCCCGGCCCCGCCCCCGCCGCGCGCGGACCGCUUCGCCUUCCGCCUUCCGGCGCCUCCCAUUGGGGGCGCCCUGCUUUUCGCCUUGCGCUACCGCGUGACUGGCCGCGAGUUCUGGGACAACAACGGCGGUCGUGACUAUGCUCUACGUGGGCCCGAGCACCCCGGGAGUGGCGGAGCCCCGGAGCCCCAGGGCUGGAUCCACUUUAUCUGAGACGCCUGGGCCGACGGCGGGGAAACCAAAGGCACCCAGGGGCUGGGGGAGCCCGAAGAUUUGGCGGGGAGGAACGAGAGAAACCGAGAUUGGCUGGGAGCUGUCCAAGAGAGUCAAGUGGGGGAGGGCGAGGAGGAUGGGAAAAAUCAAAGGGGUGUGGGGAGUGGGCGGAAUCAACGAAGAUUGGAGAGAUAGGGGUGGAAAAACAUUAGUUGGAUGUGAGUGAUAGGAGCCCAAAGCAUAGAAGAAAGGAAACCAGAAAGGGCGCUGGAAGGAUUAGAAAAAAAGCAAAACCCUGGGGUUUAAUGGUGAUGUCCUAUACCGUGAGCUAGUACUGGGAGAAAGUAAGUGGGUUCGUCAGACCUAGGCCUUUGAAGAUUAGGGUACCUCUUUGAGAUUGAGGAGGUAUUUUGUUUAAAGUAGGAGCCCACCCUACUGAUGUCAUUUGGAUUGCCAGCUCAUUCGCUCUUACCGCCGUUGCCACCUCAGGUCCCCCAAGUCCUGCCCAUCCUAGCUUUAUACUCAGCCAUAAUUGCCUUGCUUAAGUCCCAGGAACUUGGCCAUUGCUCCACAGUCCCUGACAUUAUGACAGGAUUCCCUUGUCAUUCCCGACUAUCUAUCCUGGACUUCAUUUUCCCCUGACUGGCUGGGGAGUGAUGGCAGACUACAAUCAGAGCUCCUUCCUCCUCCUCCAGGCAGCCCUGGGGAUUAAAAUGAAGGCAAAACCAACUCCAGGCCUGUCCUUGUAGCCAAAUAGUGCCGUGCCUGAGGAGUUGGUACACUCAGGGGCUUCCAGAAAAAUGCCAGCCUUACCUUUCUGGGGUGCCUUUUAAUGACCUCUAAGCACUUUAUGCACUGUGUUUGUCAAGGAACAGUGAAUCACAAGAAUCACCAUAAUGAUUCUGCCUCAGAAGGAAGGAGUCACUGACUAGCUGUAUUACUUUGGACAAAGUUACUUUACCUCUCUGGGCCCAGUCUUCUUGGGAAAUUAGAUUUUGACUAGGUGAUGGGUCAUAGUCUCUUCUUGCUUUGACAUUUUAUGAUCUAUGAGUGACAGCGUGAAAGAAGCCACAUUUUCCCACCUACAGUUGGAGUGCUACAGUUCAGAACACAACACUCCCAGCAUGUGGCUGGGGCUGAGGAUGGGUCCUCCAGUUUUUGACACAGAUACUCCAGAGCCCAGGAAGCAUCCUAUAACCAGCGUGCAGCCUGAUGGUAUUCCAGGGCCGUUUUCAAACUGCAGCUCCUCCUCUGCCCCGUGCUUUUUGCUCUUGCCCCGCACACUUCCAGUCUAGGUACUUUGAGACAAUUUUGGGCAGGUGCAUCUCUGUUGGGGAAAGUGAUGUUUGGGAGCCCCAGAGAUGAAAGGAAACAAUGUUGAGGCUCUCUUGAGGAUAAAGGAUUAUGGAUAUAAGAAAUGGAAAACAUUUCGAGUCAAGAAUCAAAGCCACUUAGUACUUAAAUGGCACCAGAAGAUGGCAGUCUGUUCCAAACCCUGAGCAAGUGAAAUGGGAUAGCUGCACUCUUCUGCCCCUUCACAAUCAGGCCUUCCUGCUUAACCUCUGCUGGUAGUUUUUCCUUUCCUCUUGCCCUAUUCCUAAGCUCUUUGCUUUUUUCUCUCCCUGUCCGUCUCUCUCAUCACUUUCAUUUUUCUUUUAGCAUAUAGGGUAUUUACCUUCGUUUUCUCUUUUCAGCUUGCCUCCAUCUUCAUCCUUGGUGAUAUUUGCUAUUCCUUCUCCCUCCAGAAGGGGUGGAGAACCUACUUCCUUUUCUCCAAGACCAUGGUUGAUCCACCUUCCUCCCUCAGGCUCCUUCUUGACAGUCUUCUAGAAGGGAGAAGAGGGAAAAGAAGCAGUUCCUGAUGCCCAUGAACAGCUGCUCCCAGGUCGCAGUUCCAGCAGAGUGAAGAAAGAACCUCCUGGAAGCCACCAAGCAAUGCGCUUUUUAGUCAUCAAUGAAGAGCCCAAGGGAGAAUGAUGGAGAAGGGGCCUGGGUCAAGGCUCAGUGUAUACUCAUCUCUUGCUUGAUGUGUAUGCACUAUUGUCAUGUUGUGUUAACAAUCGUAAUAGCUCACAUGUACUUAUCCACUCAGAUCUGGUGUCUUGCAUGCAUUAUAAUCCUCAGAGCAAACCUGUCAGUUGAGAAAUAUUAUCCCUGUUUUAGAGAUGAGGAAACAGCUCAGAAAAGCUCAGUAAUUUGUUCGAAAGCAUAUCACCGGUAAAUGGCAUAGCUGUGAACUCAGGAUCUCCAGAGCUGCUGUAUAUAACCAUGUUACUGUAUUUUUUCCCUUUAAAAACGAAACUGAAAACUUUGCCAUAUAUAAUCUUUUAUUAGGAGAAGACCACAGUUUCUAACUGCUCUGCCUUCCCACCCUCCCAGUUUACCGAACUGGCUUAGAGCAGGCAAAGUGCUGAGGGUCCCAAGCUCCCAUGCAGAGCUUGCUGCUCUCCCCUGUACCAGUGUCCCAGCGCUGCAAAAUCAGCAAGGGACCACACUGCCUGCCUGCUAGAGAACUUGGGAACCCAUUUGAACUCCAGCUUUUCCAUACAUUGAGAUUCUCUCCUGGCCCUAACCAGCAUUCUGCACCUGUUGGUGUGACACCCCUUUCCACUCCCCUGACUGGUCUUGAACUGACCAAUCCCUAAAGUUUCCACUAAAAGGUAUCCCUGACUAGGAAAACUGCUGAAUGGUCUGUGCUUGGGCCCUCUCUGCGAGCUCAGGUAUUACUGAGUGGAUAAAUGUAAACUGGUUGGAGACCGGGAACUAAGGAUAAUCCAUUUUCCCCUGAGCUUUCUCUGUAAGAAGUACUAUGGCUUGCCCACCCCCCAUUCUCAGCUUUAUAGGACCAACGCCCGAAACUUCUAGUUCUCCCCAUAUAGAGCUGCCCCAGGCCUGAGGGGUAAGGUGAUCGUCUAAUCUGAUAUGGGAAACACUAGGAAUUUGGUGGAAUCUUUAGAGAUGUGUUAGGUGUUAGGCAUUGGGAUGGGUCUUUCCCCUGAAGGCUAAUGACUAUAUGAACAGGAGCAAUUUCGUGUAUACCUGGUCAGCUGUGGACUAGGCAGUGCUAGAAGAGAAAAUAUUACCUUGGUCAGGGGCUCGGGUCCUUGAAGCCACACAGCGGGACACUUUUGCCCAUUUCUCUCUAGACCUCAGAUGUCUUCCUACACUUACCUGACAGCCUUCCUCUCAUACUUUGAUUUCUCUUUAUGAAUGUAGCUCAUUUCUCUGCACAAUAAGCCCUAACUACUGAACUUUUCCAGUCUAACUCCCACAUUCCCUUGCUUCUAACACCUGUGUUUCUCUGGAGCUCCUCUGGAUCCUUGCAAUCUGCAGGCCACAGAAUCAGAGACCUGGAAAAGCUUGUCUUUAGAGAUCCCAUGCUCCAGUACAAAUGAGGACACAAGACUUCAGCAGGGUCAGAGAAUUUGUUAGUGCAGCUCGAGAUGGGGCUUAACCCCAGCCCUCCUGACCAUGUCCCACUCCCAAGCUACAAAACAGGCCUCUACAGUCAGACCCGUACUUUUUCAUGGCGAGCGAUAAUAUCACAAAUGUUUCAUUUUCUGCUGCUAGUUUCCAUUCCCUUCCCUGUCCAGGCAUAAAAAGAAACAAAAGGCACUUGUAGUUUUCUCUGUUUUCCCAGCCUUGGCACUUCUCUGGGUGAUAUUGCUAAGGAACAGUGAAGUUGCAGAAAGACUGAAUAAUCCACCCAUUGACUAGCUAACUUGGAGAGGAAUUGAAAGUUUGCUCUGUGAAUCCCCCCAAACCACUGUUCUCAUCAGGCUCUCCCAGAGCGUCCUCACCCUCUUCCCAGUGCAGCCCUGUUCACUGGGCCCCAAACCCACUAGUACUGUGCCUCACUUCAGCUUCCUCGUGCAAAUGCCCUUUCUGGAUAAAAGACCUCAUAUCUGAAAUAAAGUCGAAAUAUGAAAGUA